GAUGAACGCUGGCGGCGUGCCUAAUACAUGCAAGUCGAGCGAACAGACGAGGAGCUUGCUCCUCUGACGUUAGCGGCGGACGGGUGAGUAACACGUGGAUAACCUACCUAUAAGACUGGGAUAACUUCGGGAAACCGGAGCUAAUACCGGAUAAUAUAUUGAACCGCAUGGUUCAAUAGUGAAAGACGGUUUUGCUGUCACUUAUAGAUGGAUCCGCGCCGCAUUAGCUAGUUGGUAAGGUAACGGCUUACCAAGGCAACGAUGCGUAGCCGACCUGAGAGGGUGAUCGGCCACACUGGAACUGAAACACGGUCCAGACUCCUACGGGAGGCAGCAGUAGGGAAUCUUCCGCAAAGGGCGAAAGCUUGACGGAGCAACGCCGCGUGAGUGAUGAAGGUCUUCGGAUCGUAAAACUCUGUUAUUAGGGAAGAACAAAUGUGUAAGUAACUAUGCACGUCUUGACGGUACCUAAUCAGAAAGCCACGGCUAACUACGUG
rnacentral:rRNA from 1 species